rnacentral:tRNA from 1 species
GCGGGCGUAACUCAGUGGUAGAGUGCCACCUUGCCAAGGUGGACGUCGAGGGUUCAAAUCCCUUCGCCCGCUCCA